GACGAACGCUGGCGGCGUGCUUAACACAUGCAAGUCGAGCGGAGCGGCGAACGGGUGAGUAACGCGUGAGUAACUGCCCCCCUCUCUGGGAUAACAGUUGGAAACGGCUGCUAAUACCGGAUAGUGGGGGAUGACUCGCGUCCUAUCAGCUGGUUGGUGGGGUAGUGGCCUACCAAGGCGACGACGGGUUGCCGGCCUGAGAGGGCGACUGGCCACAAUGGGCGGAGAUACGGCCCAAGCUGCUACGGGAGGCAGCAGUGGGGAAUAUGGCACAAUGGGCGAAAGCCUGAGGCGGCGACGCCGCGUGGGGGAUGAAGGCUUUCAGGUUGUAAACCUCUUUCGCUAUCGAAAGGGUAGGUGGAGAAGAAGCGCCGGCUAACUACGUGCCAGCCGCCGCGGUAAUA
rnacentral:rRNA from 1 species